UACGAAGGGGGCUAGCGUUGCUCGGAAUCACUGGGCGUAAAGCGCACGUAGGCGGCUUUUUAAGUCAGGGGUGAAAUCCUGGAGCUCAACUCCAGAACUGCCUUUGAUACUGAGAAGCUUGAGUCCGGGAGAGGUGAGUGGAACUGCGAGUGUAGAGGUGAAAAUUCGUAGAUAUUCGCAAGAACACCAGUGGCGAAGGCGGCUCACUGGCCCGGUACUGACGCUGAGGUGCGAAAGCGUGGGGAGCAAACAGG
rnacentral:rRNA from 1 species